AAGCUUGGAGAGCUACCGAAUCAACUAUCUCCUGAGUUAGAGCUUUAGAUUUCAAACACUGAUUUGUUGCCUGGCUAGUCAGUGAUAAGUUGAGCUUCAUUUCCGAGCACUAAGUUUUGCGUUUUCCAGAGGGCAGGGGAAGUUUGCAUUACUACCUCAAAUUAUCAUUAUGAGGAAUUUCGUGCUUGCUAUGGUAUCUUUUCUGCCAAUUACAUUCCAGUCAGAAAGAUGGAAUUGGAUAUGGAGCUAAGGUUUUUUUUUCUAGACGUCCGGACAUCGAGUAAUGGAGCUAACCCAGAAGUAAACAUGGAGAAUUCUGUGACUUUAAGAAUACCAGCUAAUUUGAAUUACAUAUUGCUGGUUGGAAGACCUCUCUAAAGGCCCUGUGGUUGCAUUCUAGACUUGAUUCAAUCUAAUUUCUGACUUGAAUGGUGUUGGGUGGUCGAUCAAAAUUCAAAAGUGCAGCACUACAUCUCUCAAAUAGUUUCAAAUAGUUGGAGUUCUACACGUACAGAUGGUUUCUUUUACUGUUCAAGACUAUUAUUGUGUAUUUCACAAUUUUGAUGAGUAUUCAUUUACAAAUGUUCAA